AGUGAACGCUGGCGGUAGGCCUAACACAUGCAAGUCGAACGGCAGCACAGUAAGAGCUUGCUCUUACGGGUGGCGAGUGGCGGACGGGUGAGGAAUACAUCGGAAUCUACUUUUUCGUGGGGGAUAACGUAGGGAAACUUACGCUAAUACCGCAUACGACCUACGGGUGAAAGCAGGGGAUCUUCGGACCUUGCGCGAUUGAAUGAGCCGAUGUCGGAUUAGCUAGUUGGCGGGGUAAAGGCCCACCAAGGCGACGAUCCGUAGCUGGUCUGAGAGGAUGAGUAGCCACAAGGGAACUGAGACAGGGUCCAGACGCAGACGGGAGGCAGCAGUGGGGAAUAGUGGACAAUGGGCGCAAGCCUGAUCCAGCCAUACCGCGGGGGGGAAGAAGGCCUGCGGGAUGUAAAGCCCUUUUGGUGGGAAAGAAAAGAAGCAGGUUAAUACCCCGCUGGGCUGACGGGACCCAAAGAAUAGGCACCGGCUAGCUUCGUG
rnacentral:rRNA from 1 species